rnacentral:rRNA from 1 species
UACGGAGGGUGCGAGCGUUGUCCGGAAUCACUGGGCGUAAAGCGCACGUAGGCGGACUCUUAAGUCAGGGGUGAAAUCCUGGAGCUCAACUCCAGAACUGCCUUUGAUACUGGGAGUCUUGAGUUCGGGAGAGGUGAGUGGAACUGCGAGUGUAGAGGUGAAAUUCGUAGAUAUUCGGAAGAACACCAGUGGCGAAGGCGACUCGCUGGACAAGUAUUGACGCUGAGGUGCGAAAGCGUGGGGAGCAAACAGG